rnacentral:sRNA from 1 species
ACACGGAAAGGAGGUGGUCCGAUUCAUGCAUUCUCUUCGGACAAGUGAGGUGGCGGCGGCCUAGCCGUUCGACCUAGGACGCGGCGUGAUCCGCUCGGUCGAGAGGCCGGCUAAUCCAAGCCAACACCCGAACCCGCGAGUGCCAGACCGUCCAUCUGGCCGACGUCAGGGCUCCACCGGAGCCUCGUCGCCAAGCUCGCGGGUUUGUCAUGC